CCUACGGGAGGCAGCAGUGGGGAAUAUUGCACAAUGGGGGAAACCCUGAUGCAGCGACGCCGCGUGAGUGAAGAAGUAGUUCGUUACGUAAAGCUCUAUCAGCAGGGAAGAAACACUGACCUUACGGUCAGCAGACGGUACCUGAGUAAGAAGCCCCUGCUAACUACGGGCCAGCAGCCGCGGUAAUACGGAGACUACGAGCGUUAUCCGGAUUUAUUGGGUUAAAAGGGGGCGCAGGCGGAAGAUCAAGUCAGCGGUAAAAUUGAGGGGCUCAACCUCUUCGAGCCGUUGAAACUGGUUUGCUUGAGGAAGCGAGAAGCAUGAGGAAUGCGUGGUGUAGCGGUGAAAUGCAUAGAUAUCACGCAGAACUCCGAUUGCGAAGGCAGCCUACCGGGGCUCAACUGACGCUGAUGCACGAAAGUGUGGGUAUCGAACAGGAUUAGAUACCCGAGUAGUC
rnacentral:rRNA from 1 species